CAACAACCUGACUAAAGAGAGAGACCAGUUACAGACCAGAUACAACAACCUGACUGAAGAGAGAGACCAGUUACAGACCAGAUACAACAACCUGACUAAAGAGAAAGGCCAUAUUCAGGCAAAGCUUUUUGUGAUAGCAUUUUCAAAAGGGAUGGAGAAACUUUGACUACAGUUGUACUUCCUCUCUACUAAGAAGAAAACCUGGGAGUAGAGAGAAGCAGUCCUGGUGAUCAUAAACAGCAGAGAGGAACAGCUGACCAUUUCUCUUCAACCUCCACCUGAGAGUCUGGAUUGGUCUGACUGACUCUGUUACUGAGGAGACCUGGAAGUAGGUGGAUGGCACAACAAUGACCACAGGUUAUUAUGUUAAUGGUUGUGUUGGUUCCACUUAUCUGGGCUCCGUUAUUUACUUAACAGAUAAGGAAUACUUCAAAUGUGAGAAACAACCUGACUAAAGAAAGAGACCAGCUACAGUCCAGUUACAACAACCUGACUAAAGAGAGAGACCAGCUACAGUCCAGUUACAACACACUGACUAAAGAGAGAGACCAGCUACAGGCCAGUUACAACAACCUGAUUAAAGAGAGAGACCAGCUACAGACUGAGAGAGAUUUUCUUAAUGGGAGGCUUACCAAUCUCAAACAAAACUGUCCUGCUGGCUGGCAGAAGUUUGAAUCCAGUUGGUACUUCCUGUCUACUGAGACUAAAACCUGGAAGGAGAGCAGAGAGGACUGUCUGGAGAGAGGAGCAGACCUGGUUAUCAUAAACAGUGAUAUGGAACAGGUGUGUGUGUGUGUGUGUGUACUGGUAUUAACCAUGAUAUCUGACUGUUAACCCUGUAGGUACUGGUAUUAGCCAUGAUAUCUGACUGUUGUUACCCCUGUGGUAUUCCAAACAGCCUGAUAAUACAGGUCCUAAUGGGGACUGUUACGUUCCCCAGAUUAUGUGUUGUAGAUUGUGUAUUUGCAUGUGUUUAUUUCAGGAAAUGGCUUCCUGAAAUCCCUCAAGCAGCUGAUUGGUCGACUCCAGGGCUAAUUGGA